rnacentral:snRNA from 1 species
CUGUUGUUGUUUACUUAGGUUUCUUGUCUUUGGAACGAUAGAGAAGAUUAGCAUGGCCCCUGCACAAGGAUGACACGCAAAUUCGUGAAGCGUCCAUAUUUUUA